rnacentral:rRNA from 1 species
AGCAGUAGCCACGGGAAUACAGAGGGUGCGAGCGUUAAUCGGAUUUACUGGGCGUAAAGCGUGCGUAGGCGGCUUUUUAAGUCGGAUGUGAAAUCCCUGAGCUUAACUUAGGAAUUGCAUUCGAUACUGGGAAGCUAGAGUAUGGGAGAGGAUGGUAGAAUUCCAGGUGUAGCGGUGAAAUGCGUAGAGAUCUGGAGGAAUACCGAUGGCGAAGGCAGCCAUCUGGCCUAAUACUGACGCUGAGGUACGAAAGCAUGGGGAGCAAACAGGAUUAGAUACCCCGGUAGUCCCUGUCUCUUAUAA